ACUUCUGGUGAGAGAAAGCUGAGCAGAAUGGAUCUAAUCUGAUUCCUCCACCCAGAAGCCCUUAAAAUGCAGCUUUGUUUUAAGCCUUCUUGAAGAUUUGGGCUAGAUCUAGAAAAGAACCUCACCACGGAGGAUGUGCAAAGUACAACACGUGACCCCGGAGACGGAAGCUCUUCUCUACCUCCGUAAAGAUGAUCUCUGAUGAACAGACAUGAUCAUGCCUGGAGAACAGGGAUGGACAGUCCCGCUUCUGAAAGACCCUGUCUGGCUGAUGAUUCAUGGUGCGCCGGGCAGACCCCAGGCCAAGAGACCCCACCCACAGUACCUGAGUGCUCAGCUGGGAACCAGACCAGACCUCAAAACAGGUUCCCAAGGUUACCACCCAACCCUGCCAACUUUCGCACCCCGCAAGGAGCAAGACCCCGCCCGCUCACCACCUGCCUGUGCAGCCAACGGGCCUCGCUGAGCUGCCCUGGGCCGCUCCCUCCAUUCACACAGUUGGCCCUCCCUCUCCCUGCCUCCCUUCGCCUACCCCACGAACUACUUCAUCCCUCUGGGCCGGCACUGUAGAAGCCCCAUUGUUCACAUCGACCUCCCAAUUAUCUCCUCUUUCCCUCUCCCUCUGCUCCUGCCCAGACCAGCCCCCCAGCAUUGACCUGGAUGCCUGCCACAGCCUCCUCCCUGGUCUCCGGCCUCCCACCUCUGCUCCUCGGUCUCCUCUACCCAGCCAGUAACUGCAGAGAGCACUAAAGCACAGUCCUGGCAUCUCACCCCCUUAACCCUGGCCACGGCUUCCCAGUGCCUCCAAGAUAAAGCACCAACACCUGAGGACAGCAGCUUGUUUUGAGAGUCCCCUCCAUUGAAACACGCACAUCUAAUUUGUCCUUCAGUUCGCUGGACUCCACGCUGAACGUGCCAUGCUCCAUUGCCCCGUGAGUAACUCCAUGCUCUUGCCGGUUUCACACGGCCUCUCAGAGCUGGAGCCUUUGUUCAGGAGCCCUGGGCAGCUUUCAGGAAGCUCUUGGGCUCAUCAGCUUCCUCUGGCUGAAGCCGCCCCAGUGGAAUCAUGGGGAUUUCUUACUUUGAAGGUGGGGCCACCCGCAGACUGUAACCGGCUGGUUCAAGAUCAAGGACUUCCCCAGGCCACCUGCCUCAGAGGCAAGAAAGGCUCAGCUGAGUCCCAGACACUCCUCGCUGUGGCCCCUCCUUCCUCCCUGCUGGGCAGGCCCCCCUCAAUUCUGUUUGCCAGCAGGGCCUAGUAACACUGAAAGACGAAAAGGGAAAUAAAAUAAACACAAUUAAUAGGCUAAAGGUUACUGAAUAAAGUGGCAGCAGUAAAUAAAUUGACUACUGUGCAAAUACAAAGACAUGAAGACAUGAAACCCCUGCUCUAAAUGACCACUCACCAAGAGCAAGGCCUGGGCUGGAGGCAGGGAGCACCUCCCUAAGGAGCACUCCCUCUUUCCCGGAGUGAGUCCUCCUUCUAGAUGGAAUUCAGUCCGGGUUCCUCUUGAGCCACAGUCCCUGUUGGGGCCUAUCUCAGUGGACUCAAGAUCCUGAACUUCUUCCAGAUUGCUGACUACACAUUUGAGUCACCCAGAGAUUAAAAGAAAAAACAAAUAAUUUCCCAGUGAUCAGGAGUAAAUCAGCUGGGGCAGGGUUGGUGCUAUGAAUGACCACACUGAUUUGUACACUUCACUGAUUUGUAGUGUUUGCUAUUUCCGUCGUGUAAAUACUGCCAACAUGGACAAUCUUCAGUUGCUAAUGGUUUACUAACUGGCUUGUAAAUGAAUUCAUUCAGUAUUCAAGAAAAUGGCACUACAUUUAGAAA
rnacentral:lncRNA from 1 species